rnacentral:rRNA from 1 species
AGUAACGCGUGAGUAACCUGCCUUUCAGAGGGGGAGUAACGUUCUGAAAAGAAACGCUAAUACCGCAUAAGAUUGUAGUUUCGCAUGGAGCAGCAAUCAAAGGAGCAAUCCGCUGAAAGAUGGACUCGCGUCCGAUUAGAUAGUUGGCGGGGUAACGGCCCACCAAGUCGACGAUCGGUAGCCGGACUGAGAGGUUGAUCGGCCACAUUGGGACUGAGACACGGCCCAG